GGCGUGCUGGCACGCGCCUGUGGUCCCAGCUACUCGGGAGGCUGAGGAGGGAGGAUCACUUGAUCCCAGGAAGUUGAGGGUGUAUUGAACUAUGAUUGCACGUCUGCACUCUGGGCGAUAGAGUGAGACCCUGUUUUCUAAAAGAAACAAAAAAGUCAGCUCAGGGUGUGUUUUGUCAGAAUUGCUCCCACAGUUGGUUAAGGCGUGUUCCUUAUGAGAUCUGCAGGAAUUACGGGCAGUGGUGCCGGAAGGUAGUCAAGUGAGUGCCGUGCAGGCCUUACCAGGUUCCCUGUAGAGGCUGGAAGGAUAAUGGCCCCAGGCUUUGGCUUGGAAACCCAAGUUUCAGCCCUGACCCUUCCACUCACUCUCCAUGUUGUUAGAUUGAGCCUUAUGAAAUUGCUAUUUCUGUU